AGAAAUGAAACGGCUUGUGAAGCUGAGACUGAAGACUGAGGACUCUGUCAAUCUGAACGAUCCGCUUGUGAUGGCAAACAUCCUGAAAAAGCUGCAGGACAGACUGAAUGAGAAUGGAACGAGUGGAACCACCUUGAAAUGGAGAGAGCAGCCUGACGGAGACGACUUUAAGAAAAAGAAGGCCGAACUCUGAGUUAUUAAUCUCAACUUAGUAUGAUAUAAAUCUGGUUAUAUCUCUGGUCACUGGCAGUUCAAAUGUAAUCAUAUAGCCUCAAUCUGUAAAUUUAAAAAAAAAAAAAUUCUAAUGAUUUGUAAUAAUAAAAAAUAGCUUUAGAAUUCUGUUCAGCUUUCACUGGAGGUAAUUUUUUUAAAUUUUGGAUCUUGACUUGAAUCUGACGUAGAAUUUAUAGAAGUAGGUAAAGAUUGACGGGUUGAGGCAAGAAACUCAUCACCAAAGAUUAAUGAUUCAAUCAAAGGUCUGUUUUGCUGCUUUGAACUAAUCUGAGCUUCUUUUGAUUCGAUCCACUGGAUUGGAUCACACUGUCUGGCUUUUGUCAAACUUUUAUUCUACGUGUGAAUAUUAAUAAUAAACUUAUUUUGUCCCAA